UGAGGCCCAGCUGAGAGAGCACGGA
rnacentral:piRNA from 1 species